UUGCACAAUGGGCGCAAGCCUGAUGCAGCGACGCCGCGUGGGGGAUGACGGCCUUCGGGUUGUAAACCUCUUUCAGCAGGGACGAAGCGCAAGUGACGGUACCUGCAGAAGAAGCACCGGCCAACUACGUGCCAGCAGCCGCGGUAAUACGUAGGGUGCGAGCGUUGUCCGGAAUUACUGGGCGUAAAGAGCUCGUAGGUGGUUUGUCGCGUUGUUCGUGAAAACCGGGGGCUUAACCCUCGGCGUGCGGGCGAUACGGGCAGACUAGAGUACUGCAGGGGAGACUGGAAUUCCUGGUGUAGCGGUGGAAUGCGCAGAUAUCAGGAGGAACACCGGUGGCGAAGGCGGGUCUCUGGGCAGUAACUGACGCUGAGGAGCGAAAGCGUGGGGAGCGAACAGG
rnacentral:rRNA from 1 species